UUAAUUUUUAUUUUCCCCAUGGUUUCUAUGAUCUUUACAAAAUUAUGAUACAUUUUAAGAUUCCCAUCAAACUAGUUUAUUUACCACACUGGAAGAUAGUAGGGAAUCAACACAGUAACUGCGUAUUUUAUGCUCAAAUAGUCAUACUAUUGUAGAUUUAAUGGACUUACCCAAGAACCCCUAACUAAUAUAUAAAGUGUGAG